GACGAACGCUGACGGCGUGCUUUAUACAUGCAAGUCGAACGAUGAAGUUCCUUCGGGAAUGGAUUAAUGGCGAACGAAUGAGGAACACGUGAGAAACCUGCCUUUCAUUCUGGGAUAACACCGGGAAACCGGUGCUAAUACCGGAUACUCCAUCUUGGCGGCAUCGCCGAGCUGGGAAAAAAUUUUGAUGAAAGAUGGUCUCGCGGCCUAUCAGCUAGUUGGUGAGGUAAAGGCUCACCAAGGCGACGACGGGUAGCCGGCCUGAGAGGGCGACCGGCCACACUGGGACUGAGACACGGCCCAGACUCCUACGGGAGGCAGCAGUAGGGAAUAUUGGGCAAUGGGCGAAAGCCUGACCCAGAGACGCCGCGUGAGGGAUGAAGGUCUUCGGAUUGUAAACCUAUUUCAGUAGGGAAGAAGCGAAAGUGACGGUACCUAAAGAAGAAGCACCGGCUAACUAUGUGCCAGCAGCCGCGGUAAUACAUAGGGUGCAAGCGUUGUCCGGAAUUAUUGGGCGUAAAGAGCUCGUAGGUCGUUUGUCGCGUCGAUUGUGAAAAUCUGAGGCUCAACCUCAGACCUGCAGUCGAUACGGGCAAACUAGAGUGUGGUAGGGGAGACUGGAAUUCCUGGUGUAGCGG
rnacentral:rRNA from 1 species